rnacentral:rRNA from 1 species
AGUGAACGCUGGCGGUAGGCCUAACACAUGCAAGUCGAACGGCAGCACAGUAAGAGCUUGCUCUUACGGGUGGCGAGUGGCGGACGGGUGAGGAAUACAUCGGAAUCUACUUUUUCGUGGGGGAUAACGUAGGGAAACUUACGCUAAUACCGCAUACGACCUACGGGUGAAAGCAGGGGAUCUUCGGACCUUGCGCGAUUGAAUGAGCCGAUGUCGGAUUAGCUAGUUGGCGGGGUAAAGGCCCACCAAGGCGACGAUCCGUAGCUGGUCUGAGAGGAUGAUCAGCCACACUGGAACUGAGACACGGUCCAGACUCCUACGGGAGGCAGCAGUGGGGAAUAUUGGACAAUGGGCGCAAGCCUGAUCCAGCCAUACCGCGUGGGUGAAGAAGGCCGUCGGGUUGUAAAGCCCUUUUGUUGGGAAAGAAAAGCAGCAGGUUAAUACCCCGCUGUUCUGACGGUACCCAAAGAAUAAGCACCGGCUAACUUCGUG